rnacentral:rRNA from 1 species
GAUGAACGCUGGCGGCGUGCCUAAUACAUGCCAGUCGAGCGAACAGACGAGGAGCUUGCUCCUCUGACGCUAGCGGCGGACGGGUGAGUAACACGUGGAUAACCUACCUAUAAGACUGGGAUAACUUCGGGAAACCGGAGCUAAUACCGGAUAAUAUCUUGAACCGCAUGGUUCAAUAGUGAAAGACGGUUUUGCUGUCACUUAUAGAUGGAUCCGCGCCGCAUUAGCUAGUUGGUAAGGUAACGGCUUACCAAGGCAACGAUGCGUAGCCGACCUGAGAGGGGGAUCGGCCACACUGGAACUGAGACACGGACCAGACUCCUACGGGAGGCAGCAGUAGGGAAUCUUCCGCAAUGGGCGAAAGCCUGACGGAGCAACGCCGCGUGAGUGAUGAAGGUCUUCGGAUCGUAAAACUCUGUCAUUAGGGAAGAACAAAUGUGUAAGUAACUAUGCACGUCUUGACGGUACCUAAUCAGAAAGCCACGGCUAACUACGUG